GUCGGAAUCUGGGAGGACCAUCUCCUAAGGCUAAAUACUCUCUAGUGACCGAUAGUGAACCAGUACCGUGAGGGAAAGGUGAAAAGCACCCCGGAAGGGGAGUGAAAUAGAACCUGAAACCGUGUGCUUACAAGUAGUCAGAGCCCGUUAAUGGGUGAUGGCGUGCCUUUUGUAGAAUGAACCGGCGAGUUACGAUUUGAUGCAAGGUUAAGCAGUAAAUGUGGAGCCGUAGCGAAAGCGAGUCUGAAUAGGGCGUUUAGUAUUUGGUCGUAGACCCGAAACCAGGUGAUCUACCCUUGGUCAGGUUGAAGUUCAGGUAACACUGAAUGGAGGACCGAACCGACUUACGUUGAAAAGUGAGCGGAUGAACUGAGGGUAGCGGAGAAAUUCCAAUCGAACCUGGAGAUAGCUGGUUCUCUCCGAAAUAGCUUUAGGGCUAGCCUCAAGUGAUGAUUAUUGGAGGUAGAGCACUGUUUGGACGAGGGGCCCCUCUCGGGUUACCGAAUUCAGACAAACUCCGAAUGCCAAUUAAUUUAACUUGGGAGUCAGAACAUGGGUGAUAAGGUCCGUGUUCGAAAGGGAAACAGCCCAGACCACCAGCUAAGGUCCCAAAAUAUAUGUUAAGUGGAAAAGGAUGUGGCGUUGCCCAGACAACUAGGAUGUUGGCUUAGAAGCAGCCAUCAUUUAAAGAGUGCGUAAUAGCUCACUAGUCGAGUGACACUGCGCCGAAAAUGUACCGGGGCUAAACAUAUUACCGAAGCUGUGGAUUGUCCUUUGGACAAUGGUAGGAGAGCGUUCUAAGGGCGUUGAAGCAUGAUCGUAAGGACAUGUGGAGCGCUUAGAAGUGAGAAUGCCGGUGUGAGUAGCGAAAGACGGGUGAGAAUCCCGUCCACCGAUUGACUAAGGUUUCCAGAGGAAGGCUCGUCCGCUCUGGGUUAGUCGGGUCCUAAGCUGAGGCCGACAGGCGUAGGCGAUGGAUAACAGGUUGAUAUUCCUGUACCACCUAUAAUCGUUUUAAUCGAUGGGGGGACGCAGUAGGAUAGGCGAAGCGUGCGAUUGGAUUGCACGUCUAAGCAGUAAGGCUGAGUAUUAGGCAAAUCCGGUACUCGUUAAGGCUGAGC
rnacentral:rRNA from 1 species